CGUGGAGACAGGUGGUGCAUGGCUGUCGUCAGCUCGUGUCGUGAGAUGUUGGGUUAAGUCCCGCAACGAGCGCAACCCUUAUCCUUAGUUGCCAUCAAUUCAGUUGGGCACUUUAAGGAGACUGCCGGUGUCAAACCGGAGGAAGGUGGGGACGACGUCAAGUCCUCAUGGCCUUUAUGCCCAGGGCUACACGCGUGCUACAAUGGGCGGCACAAAGGGCAGCGACGCCGCGAGGUGUAGCAAAUCCCAAAAAACCGCUCUCAGUUCGGAUCGGAGUCUGCAACUCGACUCCGUGAAGUUGGAAUCGCUAGUAAUCGUGGAUCAGCAUGCCACGGUGAAUACGUUCCCGGGCCUUGUACACACCGCCCGUCACACCACGAAAGUCUGCUGUACUCGAAGUCGCUGAG
rnacentral:rRNA from 1 species